rnacentral:SRP_RNA from 1 species
GGGUGUGGUGGCGUAUGCCUGUAGUCCUACCUACUUGGAAGACUGAGGUGGGAGAAUCACUUGAGUCUAGGAAUUCGAGGCUGCAGUGAGCUAUAAUCAUGCCACUGCACUCUGGCCUGGGUAACAGAGUGAGAGCCUGUCUCUU